UGCUUUGAGGAUAUUGGGCCUGGCUCCCAGGUCUCCCCCUCCCCCAAACCCCGCCUGAGUCCAGACCACCCCCUCCCUAGCUGGGAGCAUCUGAGAAGGCUGCAGUUUGCCCCCAACUUCUCCCUAUCCAGAAGGCCAGCCAGGCUCCUUCCUCGAGAGAAGGUGAGUGCGGCGGGCGCAGCGGGCUGGGUGGGUGUGGCUCGCGGCUCCGGGAACCGACCCAAGGCCCCGCCAGCGCCCGAGAGCCGCCCGACAGCCCGCCUGCCUGGCGAGCGCAAGCUCUUCUUCCAGAAACUGCGAGGAUCCCAGCGCACUGUUUGUGCACCACAAGGUCAAGUCGGGAAGUGGAGCCGGAGGAGGAGGGGCGAGGAGGCGAAGGGUGGGGAGAGGGGCGCCCCGCUUCCUCGCCAAGUGCCAAUCCUUGGAAGUUGCCCCUCGGUUUUUAACCCUUUAAGGGGAGUGGGAAGGAGCAAGGGGGAAGUGGAUACCCUCGGGCAAACUCCUACUGGGACCAGGACGUGCAGCCACCCACCCACUCACACAUCACUGCGUUCCCUACCCCCCGGAAAUGCGGGGCUGAGCCGGGCGCCAAGAGGCACUCGGGCGGGGGGAGGGGGCGACGAACCCGAGAGGGACCCUCUCUACGGACCGCCCCUCUUUCUUGAGGUCGCCCACAAUUUCAAGUUUCCCCAGCCCGGCAUGUUAGUUUCCAUCUGCUCUGGGUGGGGGAGGAGAGCCGCGCCCCCUCCCCCAGACUCGCGCGCGCCCCUCCCCUCCGCUCCUGCCAGCACUUUCUGCUCACUUCUGGCGCUGCAAAACGCCACGCGAUUUAUUCGUUUCGCAUUUUUAAACCAGCGAUUUAACCAGCAGGGCCUAGAGCGAGGGUCUUCCAGCGCUGGAACCCCGGGAGGCGGGGUGCUCUGUGCAAACCUCGUUCCCUCCGCGAGUGUCGCCUUCAGGCUGUUAUUUGCAAAGAAACGUCUUUUUGACGCAGGGAGAAAUGGCAAAUUUUAA
rnacentral:lncRNA from 1 species